CGUCUAUAUACGUAUAGCAUAUCAAUAAGCGGAGGAAAAGAAACUAACAAGGAUUCCCCUAGUAACGGCGAGUGAAGCGGGAAGAGCUCAAAUUUGAAAUCUUCAAGGGUUUCCCUUGACGAAUUGUAGUUUAAAGAAGUGUCUUCUGUUAGAGAGGUUUGGUAAAAGUUCUUUGGAAUAGGACAUCAUAGAGGGUGAGAAUCCCGUAUUUGAUCACUUAUUUCCUAACGCUUUGUGAUACACUUUCAAAGAGUCGGAUUGUUUGGGAAUGCAGUCCAAAAUGGGUGGUAAAUUUCAUCUAAAGCUAAAUAUUGGCGAGAGACCGAUAGCGAACAAGUACCGUGAGGGAAAGGUGAAAAGAACUUUGAAAAGAGAGUUAAACAGUACGUGAAAUUGUCAAAAGGGGAAGCGUUUGACACCAGUGUUGUUUUCUCGAAAAUCAAUUCAAAUGAUGGCUUGAUGCUAGGUUGUUAUGACUUUAUCAGCUUUACUGUCACUAGUUUUCUUGUCUUUGUUAAUGCACUUUUCGUUUAACAAGUCAACAUCAAUUUCUUUUGCUGUAAAAGAGGUAAUAGGAAGGUGGCUUUCAUCUUCGGAUUGAAAGUGUUUAUAGCCUUUUAGCCUCUGCAAGUCGGAGAGAUUGAGGUCUGCAGCGUAGACUCUUCGGGGUUAGAUACAUUUGUGCUAAGUUAUAGCUUUUCAUAGACAACAUGUUGACUAUGAUUAGGUCAUGUAGCUUACUCGCUUAUGGCUAUUUUACCUACGCUUAGGAUGUUGAUAUGCAUGACUGAUAU
rnacentral:rRNA from 1 species